UAUCAUCACAUUGAAUAUGGAUGAAAAUAAGCAGUUUGAUCUGUCAAUUUUAUCAAACGAGGAGCAUAAAUUAACCAUUGAAGUUUACAAAGAAAUGGAUGUGAAUGAACAGUCAAAACAACAGGAUGUGUUACAUAAUAAUUUAGAAUAUAAACAUCAACUGAGAAUACAUUGCCUUCGACAUCAGAAGGAGCAUUUUGGAAAAUAAUAUUAUAAUAUACAGGAAAAUUAGAAACUGAUGAAAAUGAUGUUUAUUAAAAGAUGGAACAUGUACAGAGUUGAUGUGACAGUAUUCAGAAUGCAAAGAGAAAUAAUUCAGAAUGCAAAGAGAAAUAAUGCCAAGAUGUGUACUUGAAUUGGUCUGAUCAAAAUACCCAAAUACAGCUGGCAUUACCAUAAUGAUAUAACUGUGUUAUAUUCACUGGAAUUUUAUUUUUUGUCCCUGUUGUGAGAAAAAUGCAGCUGAACUCACACGUUUUCGACUGGAAACCCUCCAUCAAGAAAACCCUGACCCUCAAGCAGGUACUGUACGUACGUAUUUGUGAACAGCUCACACCAGCUAGAGCUCUUCCAUAAAUCAGAUUAUUAUCUGAGCCUCAAAAAAAAACAAGAACAGGACGGUCUGAAUCAUUAAGGACUGAAGCUAACACCAUAGAGGUACAUCCUUCCAAGAAUCCAACAACACCAUAUGCUGAACAACUUCUUGACUCUCUUCAAAAGACCACACUUUCCUGAAAGAAACAAAAUAU